AGGGUGUAAACGCUGCAGACUUGGUAUUGGGGGCCCUUUGGGGGCAUUCAGUGCCGGAGAGAAGUUGUUAAGUCUGCUACUUGGGGAGUACGUCCGCAAGGAUGAAACUUAAAGGAAUUGGCGGGGGAGCACCGCAACGGGAGGAGCGUGCGGUUUAAUUGGAUUCAACACCGUAAAACUCACCAGGGAAGACUGUUACAUGAAGGCCGAGAUGAAGACUCUGCUAGAUUUUCAGAGAGGAGGUGCAUGGCGUCAGUGACU
rnacentral:rRNA from 1 species